UACGUAGGGGGCUAGCGUUGUCCGGAAUCAUUGGGCGUAAAGCGCGUGUAGGCGGUCCGGUAAGUCCGCUGUGAAAGUCGGGGGCUCAACCCUCGGAUGCCGGUGGAUACUGUCGGGCUUGAGUACGGAAGAGGCGAGUGGAAUUCCUGGUGUAGCGGUGGAAUGCGCAGAUAUCAGGAGGAACACCAAUAGCGAAGGCAGCUCGCUGGGACGUUACUGACGCUGAGGCGCGAAAGCGUGGGGAGCGAACAGG
rnacentral:rRNA from 1 species